GGGUCAGUAGGUUGGUCGUGCCACUGGUAUGCACUGGCCUUACUGAUUCCUCCUUCUUGAAGAACUGUGAUGUCAUUUACUUGGUGUUGCAGGGAAACAGGACUGUUACUUUGAAAAAAUUAGAGUGUUCAAAGCAGGCGUUUCGCUUUCAUACUCCAGCAUGGAAUAAUAAAACAGGACUUUGGUCGUGUUUUGUUGGUUUUAAGGACCGAAGUA
rnacentral:rRNA from 1 species